UCAAAAGAAGUGGUUUAGGCACUUAUUUUAAAAGUACUCGUACAAUGGUAAAAUAACAUUUUGUUUGCUUACACUUAAAAAAAACUUUCUAUCUUCAUUUCUUUCUAUUUCAUUGUGGCAUUUAUUCUUUUGUUGCUUUGCUACCAAAUAUUUAAUGAAAUGACGUGAUAUGAUUCAGUCUUGUCUUGAUCACUCAACGUUGUCAUCCAGAUCAAAGGUAAGAUCAAAGCAAUUUACUUAGAAAACAUAUUUGUAUGCUUUUCCAAUGAAGUGAGAGAUGUCAAAGCAAAUGGUUGGCCAGAGGCGGCCAAGAACAACUCAGUGGCAGCAGUGCACACAGCUGUCUGGUCUACUGAACAACAGAAGUACGUGCCAAGUGUGGCAAAAGUUUUUAUAAGAGUAACACUUGUUUUGUUCAACCUGACAAAAUAUAAAAUGUCACAAAAGACAUACAAUGAGCAGUGGGGACAAGCACAGCGUGAGCUGAGUUGCCUGCUAACUGAUGAGACUCCUGAUGAGCCGCCUCCCCCAGAAUUGGACCGAGUAGUUUUCUUCAAGCGUGUGGCCAGAUUUUAUGUGCGCUACAUCCAGGUUUUCAGACAGCUGGAUAAGGCAUACGACCUUCUGGUUCACCCUCAGAAGAGAGAAGUUCUUCGAGAAAUUCUUGAUGGAGUGAUGGGGAGGUUGUUGGAGCUGAAGAAAGACAUGGUAGAGGCUGAGUUUUCAGAAUUCCACUACAUGGACGAUAUUGUUCAAACAUUAAAGCUCACACCGACAGAUCUUCAGCUCCCUAUACCUCAUUAUUUUAUCACCGAACAUAGCAAGGAACGGACAGAUAUCCUUCAAGAUAUUGCACUUGUCAAGGCCAUUGAGACUAUUCAAGCUGUUGAGAGGGCUCGCCAAGCACGCAUGAAAGCAAAGCUGAAGAAAAUGAGCAAAGUUGUAAAUGGCGAUGGUGAUGAUGAAAAUGAUGAUGAAAAAAAGGUUGAUAUGAUUGAAGUUUCUGCAGCGCUUCGCAUUCAGAAGUUGUGGAGGGGUUAUGUGCAAAGGAAGAUAAUAGCCCAGGAAUCAAUUUUGACUUCUCAGGAAGCAAAAAUGGAUUUGCAUAUAAUCAUUUCCCAAGCUAAUGAUGCCUGCACGCGGAUUAAACAGCAGGAGUAUAUGGAAGAUUACCACAAUUCCAUAGCAUCUAUUACGAAGGAAGUAAAGGAUUUGGGUCCUGACAUGAGCAACACAAUGAAAGACCGAAUUCGACAGUGGUUCUUAAAAUGCCGACAUGCCGCUGGGAUAUUCCCAGAAUAUCCUGAUGAUAUACAUGGCGGAGGAGCGCUCAUUUUGGUGGAUAAGGACCCCCUCCAGGUAAUGAAAGAAAUUGCUGCACAGAAGGAGGAAGAUAAAAAUAAUAAAUUGAAGGGAAAAGAUGAAAAAAAAGGCAAACAAAAAGAUGGAAAAAAGGGAAAAGUAAAAGAGGAAGGAUUGAGGAUGCAAAACUCUGCUUUUUUAUCAGACUUACAAGAAGCAAACAAACAAUUUAAAGAAUUUUGGGAAACCUGUGAUGAGUCCAACAAUUUCCACCAAAGACAUUUGGCACAAAUAAUAAGAGACGAAAAAAAGAAAAUUUUUGAUGCAGAGAUUCAAUUAGAGGUCGAUGAGCAAAUGAGACUAGAGCUAGCUGCAAUGAAGCUAGCUGUGGAUAAUAUUAAGGGAGGAAAGGCUAAAGGAAAGAAAGGCAAGAAAGGAGGUGGGAAGGGGAAGAAGGGAAAACAGGUAGUUGACCUAACAGCUGAUAGGACUCUGGAGUCUCUGUGUCAGGAGCUGGUGGAACAGAACUUGUUAAAAGCAACAGCUGAUAUAAGUCUGAGUGAAUACACAGGCAAUUAUAGCUACCUUGGUGCAAUAUUAAGAGAAAAUGCCAUUGAACCCACACCUGCAUUAUUAGAUGUGAGACAACUUCUAACGUUGUAUGCCGUAUUACCACUAGGCUCUCGGGCUGUUCACCAGAAAGGGCCUCUGAUUACGUCCAUACUACUGGUAGGGCCAGCUGGCAUAGGGAAGAAGAUGUUGGUCCAAGCCGUUUGUAAUGAAACACAAGCCGCCCUGUUUGAUCUGUCACCCAUGAACACAGCAGGAAAAUACCCAGGUGAUGAUGGCCUUAACAUGAUGCUUCACAUGGUCUUUAAAGUCGCAAAACUCCUACAGCCUUCAGUGAUCUGGAUUGGAGAUGCAGAGAAAAUGUUUUACAAGAAGGUUCCUAAACACGAAGAAGAGUUGACCCCUAAACGGCUGGCAACAUCGCUGCCAAAGUACCUGAAAUUAAUCAAAGGAGACGAUCGUGUUCUUAUACUGGGAACCGCCGAAGACCCUAUAUGUGCCAAUAUCAGGGCGUUGUGUAAAACAUUUGGCAAAAUCCUUUUCAUCCCCAGACCUGAUUAUGGCGCAAGGUUUAUUUUAUGGAAGGAGCUUAUCAAAAGGUAUAAUGGUGAGGUUACAGAAGCUAUUGAUUUCAGCUCUCUUGCUAAGAUGUCUGAAGGGUACACACCAGGUCUCAUGAUCCAGGUAAUACAGCAAGUUGUCACAAAGCGACGCAUCCGAUGGCAGGGUUUCAGACCACUGACUACAGCUGAGUUUGUUGCUCAUAUAGUAGCAAUAGACCCUGCAUACAAAAAAAAGGAGGACGCUUUGAAAAAGUGGUAUGGUAAAACACCCCUUGGAAAGAAAAAAAUAGCAUUUGAAAAGAAAAAAGCCAAGGAGGAAGAAGGCAAUGAGCCAAAAAAGUAAAUAAUUUAAUCUUGAUAGUUAUUUUGUUUUACUGUAACCUUGGCGAUUUUCCUUUAUUGGGUAACAUUUACUUGACCUGGUGUAGUCAAUGUAUGAAUUUGUGUUCCCAUAACACCAUUGAUUGAUUUUGAUUUGCAACAUUAAAGAAAAUCUGUUUAAUUUUGAAGCUUCUUGUUUCCUAAUUAACACAGUAUUUAGUAACUAACGACCUCAAGUGUUUAAUAAUGUACCAUUUGAGACUUAGGUUCAACUUUUACAAUAUACCACGUUUCUCACCGAAAUAAAAUAAAGGCAAUUACUAGAGCUUUUAGUCUGUACAUACCAUGCUAAAUGUAUAAAAUGUUUUGACCAAAACAAAAUACAAAUCCCUGACGAAUGACCCACGGAAACCUGCAAGACAAGACUAGGGGUUUUAAUCGGCUCGGUGUCACGUCAUGUGACUCUGUCCUAAACAGGAAGUAGCUAAAUCUGACUUCGUUGGCUGCUUCUCUUUAAUGUGUCUCACUUACACGGCACAAAGGAAUGGACAUAGUAUCGACUGCCUAAGUAUUAGAAA